rnacentral:rRNA from 1 species
UACGGAGGGUGCAAGCGUUAUCCGGAUUUACUGGGUUUAAAGGGUGCGUAGGUGGGUAGGAAAGUCAGUGGUGAAAUCUUCGGGCUUAACCCGGAAACUGCCAUUGAUACUAUUUAUCUUGAAUACUUUGGAGGUAAGCGGAAUAUGUCAUGUAGCGGUGAAAUGCUUAGAGAUGACAUAGAACACCUAUUGCGAAGGCAGCUUACUACGCAGAUAUUGACGCUCAUGCACGAAAGCGUGGGGAUCAAACAGG